CUUCUUAAAUUGGCUUUCAAGCCUCCUUCCUACCCUCCCCAUAGGCAUUAAUUAGCUGUUCCUGGUUUGUUUUCCACUACUAGCCUACACAAGGCCAGACAGCUCUUCAGGCAGACAGCUCUCUCUUUGUCCGCUGAAAACAUCAUGUGAAUUGUCUUUAUUUUACUGAAGAUGCCAGGCACCAUGUUAGGCAUUACAAAUAUUAUCUUAUUUAAUCCCUUCCAUUUAAGAGAUGGGUAUAAUUAUACCCAUUUUAAGGCUGUAGAAGGCUAAAGAAGUUAAGGUACUUGUCCAACUAAGGUCUCACAGCAGCACUAGGAUUCUUACAUCUGGCUCAAAAGCUGGUAUACUUUCCACUCCAGCAUACUCUCCCCCCUGCUAUGCAUGUGCUGUGUGUUCUGAUUCCUCCUUCCUCUUGUCAUCUGGAUGAUUUCUCAAUUUCACUCCAUAUAUCUGACUCCUGUCCAGUCUGCAAAUCCGGAGAGAAACUCCCACCUCUGUCUUGAAACCUUUCAACCAUCAUCCUAGUCCUUGGCAGACUGCUGAAUUUGUCAUCUGCAGCACUCAUUUGGUGCUCCCAUUUUCUGCCUUGUAUUGUCAGCUUUAUUUUUAUUCAGUCCCUUCCAACCAAACUGAAAGCUCCUUGAAGAUGGGAAUUUGCCUUAUAUUUAUUUAUAUUCCUCCCUGACUCCCCAGAGCCUAAUAUUACAACUCCCGUUUGUCAUACACUCACCUCAUGCACACUAAUCCUUAGAAGUGAGCACUGUUAUUACUGCCAUUUCGCAGAUAAAGAAACUGAGACUCAGAGAGAUGAAGAAAUUUGCCCAAGCCACUAAGCUGGUGAGCAGAUCUGAUGUUCAAACACAUACUGCCUGAAUCAAAUGCCCCUUUUCCUUUGUGACUGUAUUGUCCUGGCUCACAUACAUGGUCCCUCACACAAUGUGAACUUAUGAAGCAUUCCUGUAUGGAGGAUACUCAACAAGCCUCCAGAAAACAUCCCUCUAACAUGACUUCAGAGAAGGGGCAUUGUUUUUACUCUUCAUGAGGUGAAAUCCGGCAACUCAACAGAAGAAAGGAUGAGUAUAUACCCACCUGAGGACACCCACAUCCACUUCCCCCUCCUCUCUAGGAGCCAUGCCUCAUGUUGGUGGGAGCCAAUGAUGCUGUCUAUAUCUGUACAGGGGUUUCUGUGAGGUAGAGAGGCAAACUGCCCUUCCCCCUUAAUCCUCUGUACCUUUUAAAUACACAGAGGAAAGAAGGAGAAAAUUAAACUGUUAAUUUCUUUUAAUGGUCUGCAGGGUCCAGAGAGGUGGGGUCCUGCUGUGUCUGCAAAAGAAAUGAAUUGCUGCUGUGGGAAGAAUAACAACUGUUUUUAGAAAAUGUUCAUAGCUGACCGAUUAAGCCAAUCUGUAGAACUCAAGUCAGCUUCUUCUUCUCCUUUAAGUCUCAGCUGGAGUUGAAUUUGAAUUAUUUCCUCAAAUUUUAAAUUGCUGGUUUUUGGAAAGCAAUGCUUGUUUUGACCCCAAAUUAUAUUAUCCUGACUUGACCACCCACCUUAUUCUUCAGAGCACUGAAGGAUGCUAAAGGAAGAUGGCUUGCCACCUCCAAGGCUCUUAAACCAGAUGUGCUGUGGGUUCUGAAAGCAGUGCCCAACAAAGAGCUCCAGAAACGUUUUGAGCAAUGGCAGCAAUGGAAGCACCUACACAAUAAGUGACAGCCUUCCAAGAUGACUUGAUAGAUGAGAACACACUAAAAUGUUUGUGUAAGUUCUGGUGUAGUUGUUAACAUGCAGACAUUAGUUAGACCUUGGUUAUACCGUUUCAGCCCUCCAGCUGAGAGUUAGGGACAAAAUUAUUCCUAACAUAUUGUACUUCAAAAAAUGGUACAUCCUUUAGGUGCAUCUUGCAGAUUUCACACAAAAUGUUUUAAUAUUUAGGAUCUAGAUAUUGUUUUGAAUGAUUUCAAGCAUUAUCCAAGAAAGAUGAAAACUAUAACUGAGAUAAACAUAUUGAGUAUGUUUUUAUAUUUUUAUUAAACCAAUUAAUUUUAACCAGGUGUAUGUAUGACUACUUGGGAUGCAUUUUGUUUACUUAAUUGUAGACAAUUCUGACUUAAGAUUGGGGGGAAAAAAGGUACUGUAUGUGGUCUUGAUUUUAACUAGAAAUAUAGUGCUUUCAACUCAAAUGAAACCAGCCCGUCCAGUAUACCAAAUAAGGAGCAAGACCUUUUAAGGAUUAUUUUGCUUUCUAAAGUAAUUAAAAGAAUAUCCCCUUCAAUCAUGUAUGCCCUUUAAACUUUGCUUAAUGAGUUUUAAAGGAGAAAAAAAAAAAAACAUGGUACUGUGUGGUACUGUGAAUACGGCACAAUCUGGAGAAAACUUUCUGAUUCCUAAUUUAUUUUUUUCCCUUGACUUUCUACUUAAAGGUAAUCAACACAAUUUUCCAUUUGUAUCAAAGAAAGGCCACAGUUUUUAACUCUUUCAUAAUAAUGUUCCUUGAGUUUCUUGGAGCAAGGAGAAAAUAUACAUAUUUUAGUUACAUUUCAACAAUUACUUAUUAAAGGUCCAUAGGGAUCAUGUUCAAUGGCAAAGGGAAGUGGAGGACCUAUAAUAGAUAAUGAAUAAAUACUUAUUGAAUGGAUGGAUGGAGGAAAAGAAAACUGUAUCUUGGGCCCCAUAUGGAGUUCACUAUAAAAUUAAUUCCCACAGAUUAGCCUCCCAAAGUAUUUGGUCCAUGUAAAUACAACUUCUGGCUAUCAUAUAAUAUUAAGCCUAAAGCAUCUGCUUAAAUUUGGACUUGAUUUUUCCUAUUAUUCCAGUUUUAGAAAAUGUUUGGUCACAUAAAUAGAGCUCUCUCACUAACUUACUUGGACUAUUUGGUUACAUAACAUCUCUGUUCCUCAGUUUAUGUCAGAAUGGAAAUAAGACAAAAACCUCCUCCUUCCUAUAGGGACUUUUUUGAGUACCUUGAUAAAUACCUACAAAAUGAUAAAUGCUACUACCUCUUUCAACAUUUGCACGAUGUUAACUAAACACAAAAUAUUUUUAGUGUGUGAAUUAAAAUGCCUCUUUUACUGAUGGCUUCAGAUGUUUCCUUGUAAGAUACCAUGUCAAGAACUGGUUUAUAAAUUAUCUGUCCUUCCAGAACGCACUGACAUCACGCUUCCUAAUAGCUUGGUAUGAUGACUGCUGUCAAAAUCGCCUGCAUGGAACCAUCCCUGACCUGGACUAACAGCAUGUAUUAGCGUGACAGAGACUAAAAAGCUAAGAACCGCCGUGCGAUGGCCGGCUUUGGGCACCGGGGGUGGGGGCUACGCUACGCGUGAAGGGCCUCAGUCCUCGGGCUUUAGUUCAGGAAGAAAAUGAAAGCUGGAGGUCUCGUGGGCGGGACUGGAGGCGGCCAGAUAGGCAAGAACCCGCAACAGGAGUAGGGACAUUUUUUCUUCAAAUUCCAAUCCCAUCCAGCGAUAGACAGGCGCGUGGGUCUCCCUCCUCCACGACCACCACACAAUGGCACACACUUUUGCUGGAAACUGAAAUCGAAGUCUCUGAGGCAGGCUGGGGCCCAGGCCGGCAGCGGGGAGGGGCAGGGUCCAGCCACCUCGG
rnacentral:lncRNA from 1 species